rnacentral:sRNA from 1 species
AGGCUGUCGGGCUGGGGCUGAGGCUGAGCCUGCCCCGUCAUCAGAUGCCAAUGAUAAUGAGUUACCUUCCCCCGAACCAGAGGAGCUCAUCUGUCCCCAAACCACCCACCAAACUGCCGAGCCGGCAGAGGACAAUAACAACAACGUGGCCACGGUCCCCACCACGGAGCAGAUCCCGAGUCCUGUGGCUGAGGCCCCAUCUCCAGGGGAAGAGCAGGUCCCUCCAGCACCUCUUCCCCCUGCCAGCCACCCUCCUGCCACCUCCACGAGCAAGCGGACCAACUUGAAGAAGCCCAACUCGGAGCGGACGGGGCACGGGCUGAGAGUCCGGUUUAACCCCCUGGCACUGCUCCUAGACGCGUCUCUGGAAGGAGAGUUCGAUCUGGUGCAGAGGAUCAUCUAUGAGGUGAGCUGCAGCCGGGGACCCGUGCACGCUGCUGGGGGCGAGGGGAUGGGCGCUCACAGGCCAUGUGUCCUAGGUGGAAGAUCCCAGCAAGCCCAACGACGAAGGGAUCACCCCACUGCACAACGCCGUCUGCGCCGGCCACCAUCACAUCGUGAAGUUCCUGCUGGAUUUUGGUGUCAACGUGAAUGCUGCUGAUAGUGAUGGAUG